UUGCAAUGAUGGAACUAUUUUUCGUCAACAGUAUAUUCAUGCGCUGCGUGUAUGUUGAGAUGUUGUGUCUGAGCAA
rfam:Xenopus laevis strain J chromosome 1S, whole genome shotgun sequence.